rnacentral:rRNA from 1 species
AACGAACGCUGGCGGCGUGGAUAAGACAUGCAGGCCGAACGGAUUUCACUGUGUAGCAAUACAUGGUGGAGUUAGUGGCGCAAGGGUGCGUAACACGUGGGCAACCUGCCCUGGAGACUGGGGAUAGCCCGCCGAAAGGCGGAUUAAUACCGGAUGCGGCUAGCUGACGAUUGUCGGCGACGCUAAAGGUGGUUUCAUGCAAAUGAGGCUGCCGCUCCUGGAUGGGCCCGCGGCCUAUCAGCUAGUUGGUGAGGUAACGGCCCACCAAGGCUUUGACGGGUAGCUGGUCUGAGAGGACGACCAGCCACACUGGAACUGAGACACGGUCCAGACACCUACGGGUGGCAGCAGUCGAGAAAUUUUUUCG